rnacentral:rRNA from 1 species
UACGGAGGGUGCAAGCAUUGAUCGGAUUUACUGGGCGUAAAGGGCGCGUAGGCGGUUAUGUAAGUCAGAUGUGAAAUUCCGGGGCUCAACCCCGGAGCUGCAUUUGAAACUACAUAGCUUGAGUACAGUUAGGGAAAACAGAAUUCCACGUGUAGCGGUGAAAUGCGUAGAUAUGUGGAAGAAUACCGGUGGUGAAGACGGUUUUCUGGACUGUUACUGACGCUGAGGCGCGAGAGCUAGGGGAGCAAACAGG